AACGGCCAUAUCACGUUGGAACACCGCUAAUAGUCCGAUCACUGAAGUUAAGCAACGUUGAAGUUGGUCAGUACCUAGAUGGGUGACCGCUUGGGAAUACCAGGUGCUGUAAG